rnacentral:rRNA from 1 species
UACAGAGGUGGCAAGCGUUGUUCGGAAUUACUGGGCGGAAAGGGCGCGUAGGCGGCCUACUAAGUCAGACGUGAAAUCCCCCGGCUUAACCUGGGAACUGCGUCUGAUACUGGAAGGCUUGAGGAUGGGAGAGGGAUGUAGAAUUCCAGGUGUAGCGGUGAAAUGCGUAGAUAUCUGGAGGAAUACCAGUGGCGAAGGCGGCCUUCUGGACGGAUACUGACGCUGAGGCGCGAAAGCCAGGGGAGCAAACGGG